rnacentral:rRNA from 1 species
CAGCAGUAGCCGCGGGAAUACGUAGGGUGCGAGCGUUAAUCGGAAUUACCGGGCGUAAAGCGCGCGCAGGCGGUUGUGUAAGACAGGUGUGAAAUCCCCGGGCUUAACCUGGGAACUGCGCUUGUGACUGCACAGCUAGAGUAUGGCAGAGGGGGGUGGAAUUCCACGUGUAGCAGUGAAAUGCGUAGAGAUGUGGAGGAACACCGAUGGCGAAGGCAGCCCCCUGGGCCAAUACUGACGCUCAUGCACGAAAGCGUGGGGAGCAAACAGGAUUAGAUACCCCAGUAGUCCCUGUCUCUUAUAA